AUACAGCUAUAGCGUAAAUACAUAGUUAUUUCCAUCUCUCCAUCCAGAUGGUCGGUUACACGAUAAUUACAGUAUGUUUGUACUUACUGGGUUUAAUUACCAGAUAAUCAGAAAGAACAUGCAAAUUGCUAGGUUGUUGUUACACAGUACACUGAACCAAGUAAAACCUGUGUGCUGCAUCAAAGUAAACAAGCUCCUCCACGGGAUCGUGCGCGGUAACCUGUGACGACUAUAGGGCCUGAGGACUGAAAUCCAUGACCUUGGCGAUCAUUAUCUUCCCCCACCCUGCCUGCGGUGACUGGUUGAGAGUUGAACUUGCCCCAAGCCACUUAAGCCACUCCUGGAACUGAACAUUUUCUGAUGCCAAAAUCAAGGCACUUGGUCUUCCCUCCGGAGAGUGAUCAAGUCCAAAGUCUCAAAAGCCAUUACAAGGCAUCGUGCAAUGGACAAAGUGGGUCUUUAAUGACAUCACUGAACUACAGGAUCAAGCUCUACCUGAAAGCCAAUCUAUAUUUUCCACUCACAUGGGCGAAUAAACUCUCUUUUUUGUCUGGGCCACCAA